rnacentral:rRNA from 1 species
CCUACGGGGGACAGCAGUGGGGAAUAUUGGUCAAUGGAGGAAACUCUGACCCAGCAACGCCGCGUGAAUGAUGAAGGUCUUCGGAUUGUAAAGCUCUUUUUUAAGGGAAGAAGAAAGUGACGGUACCUUAGGAAUCAGCCUCCGCUAACUACGUGCCAGCAGCCGCUGGAAUACGUAGGCGGCGAGCGUUAUCCGGAAUGACUGGGCGUAAAGGGUGCGUAGGUGGGAUGGCAAGUUCGUCGGGUAACUCCAAGGCUCAACCUUUGCACCGCUACUAAAACUGUUGGUCUUGAGUGCAGGAGAGGGAACCGGAAUUCGUAGUGUAGCGGUGGAAUGCAUAGAUAUUAGGAGGAACACCAGUGGCGAAGGCGGGUUGCUAGAGUGUAACUGACGCUGAGGCACGAAAGCGUGGGGAGCGAACAGGAUUAGAUACCCUAGUAGUC